ensembl:rRNA predicted gene, 27977
UGUGGAUCUAUAGAUGCCACCCUGAACUCAUCUGAUCUCAGAUGCUAAGCUAGGUUGCAUAGGAGGGUAUUACAUGUGGGAAACAUGGUAGAAAUGAGGACUUGUCCACAA